rfam:Bacillus galactosidilyticus strain PL133 scaffold000131, whole genome shotgun sequence.
UGUUUCUGCUAGGGGAGCCAUAUGGCUGAGAUUAAAGAACUCUUUAGGACCCUUAGAACCUGAACUGGUUAAUACCAGCGGAGGGAAGUGGAAAUUUUUUAAC